GGGUGUGGCUCAGCGGUAGAGCACUCACCUAGCAAGUACAAGGCCCUGGGUUCGAUCCUCAGAACCACA
rnacentral:tRNA from 1 species